rnacentral:rRNA from 1 species
CCUACGGGAGGCAGCAGUGGGGAAUAUUGGACAAUGGGGGAAACCCUGAUCCAGCGACGCCGCGUGAGGGAAGAAGUAUUUCGGUACGUAAAGCUCUAUUAGUAGGAAAGUAAAUUAAGGUACCUGAAUAAGAAGCUCCGGCUAACUACGUGCCAGCAGCCGCGGCAAUACGAAGGGGGCAAGCGUUAUCCGGAUUUACUGGGUGUAAAGGGAGCGUAGACGGCAGCGCAAGUCUGGAGUGAAAUGCCGGGGCCCAACCCCGGAACUGCACUUGAUACUGUGAAGCUGGAGUGCAGGAGAGGUAAGCGGAAUUCGUGGUGUAGCGGUGAAAUGCGUAGAUAUCAGGAGGAACACCGGCGGCGAAGGCGGCUUACUGGACUGUAACUGACGUUGAGGCUCGAAGGCGUGGGGAGCAAACAGGAUUAGAUACCCGAGUAGUC